UACAGAGGGGGCAAGCGUUGUUCGGAGUUACUGGGAGUAAAGGGCGCGUAGGCGGCCUGCUAAGUCGAACGUGAAAUCCCCGGGCUCAACCCGGGAACUGCGUCCGAUACUGGCCGGCUUGAAUCCGGGAGAGGGAUGCGGAAUUCCAGGUGUAGCGGUGAAAUGCGUAGAUAUCUGGAGGAACACCGGUGGCGAAGGCGGCAUCCUGGACCGGUAUUGACGCUGAGGCGCGAAAGCCAGGGGAGCAAACGGG
rnacentral:rRNA from 1 species